rnacentral:rRNA from 1 species
AACGAACGCUGGCGGCGCGCCUAAUACAUGCAAGUCGAACGAGAAGGUGUAGCAAUACACUUGUACAGUGGCGAACGGGUGAGGAAUGCACUGGGCAACCUACCCUCGAGUGGGGAAUAACCAGCCGAAAGGUUGGCUAAUACCGCGUACGCUUCCGGGUCUCCGGAUCCGGAAGGAAAGUCACACCGUGGGUGUGACGCUCAAGGAUGGGCUCAUGUCCUAUCAGCUUGNGGUGAGGUAACGGCUCACCAAGGCAACGACGGGUAGCUGGUCUGAGAGGACGAUCAGCCACACUGGCACUGCGACACGGGCCAGACUCCUACGGGA